UGCAUUCCUGGACUCCACUCUCAUCUGCCCAUGCACUUCCUCACCAUCCUGCCUGCCUGAAGAUUCAAGAAUGUUAAGGAUUCCCAUCUGGCUUGGGUGUGCCCCUUAAUAAAUGUAACACAUGGAACGAUGCCCUCUUUGGAUCCUAGGCCCUGCCCUGGCUUCUUGGUUGACUUUGGUGAAUGGAGCAAUAGCUAAAACACCUUAUCAGGAGCCUGUAUUUACACAUGUCACCAUCAAGUGAUGCCUGUUAAUCCUAAAAUAGGAAGGGAUGAAGAGUGAUCAUCUUGCCUAUCAUUUUCCUCCAGUAAGAAAGGAGACUCCACUGCCUACAAUGACAGAGCUUUCUGACUCCUGUGAAACUUCAUGUCUUUUUGCUGAUGUUAAAGAUGAAUUCUACCAACUAAGGUGAGCAGAACAGAUCUUUGGCUCCACCGCCCUCCUAUUCUUGGAAACAGUUGUUCUGAUGAUAUCUCUGGCUCAUCACAACUCCAUGCCUUUGAUCUCUCCAUCAUUUUCUCCACUGUGCCUAAAGGAGAUAACCCAGCUGGACUGUAUCUCUCAUCCUGCAAUUAACACAUCUUAAGAGAAAGGUAGGGAAGAUGAAUCCCUCUUAUCACCACCCUUCACCUCAAAGCCUGUUUUCAGUAGUGUUUUUACCUAGGAAAGCCACUACAAAACUCUUAAGGGCAUGGGGGGACACAUUAAGAAGCAUUAGGCAAGUUGCUCAAUCUUUCUGGAGCCCACACCUUCACCUGUGACACCAAGACCCCGUGUUCCAUCACUCUGUGAGCCUGUAGUUCUAAACCAUUCAUUCUUUUAGUGAUGGUGGUCACACAAGGGAAGCCCCUCACAUCCCUCCAU
rnacentral:lncRNA from 1 species